UCCAGACUCCUACGGGAGGCAGCAGUGGGGGAUAUUGCACAAUGGGGGGAACCCUGAUGCAGCGACGCCGCGUGGGUGAAGGAGCGUUUCGGCGCGUAAAGCCCUAUCGGCAGGGAAGAAGGAGGACGGUACCUGACUGAGAAGCCCCGGCUAACUACGUGCCAGCAGCCGCGGUAAUACGUAGGGGGCAAGCGUUAUCCGGAUUUACUGGGUGUAAAGGGGGCGCAGACGGCAGCGCAAGCCAGGAGUGAAAGCCCGGGGCCCAACCCCGGGACUGCUCUUGGAACUGCGCGGCUGGAGUGCAGGAGGGGCAGGCGGAAUUCCUGGUGUAGCGGUGAAAUGCGUAGAUAUCAGGAGGAACACCGGUGGCGAAGGCGGCCUGCUGGACUGCGACUGACGUUGAGGCCCGAAAGCGUGGGGAGCAAACAGGAUUAGAUACCCCAGUACU
rnacentral:rRNA from 1 species